rnacentral:rRNA from 1 species
AUACGGAGGAUCCGAGCGUUAUCCGGAUUUAUUGGGUUUAAAGGGUGCGCAGGCGGCCAUUUAAGUCAGCGGUUAAAUCGUGGGGCUCAACCCCAUUCUGCCGUUGAUACUGGGUGGCUUGAUUGCGGUCGAGGUUGGCGGAAUUCGUUGUGUAGCGGUGAAAUGCAUAGAUAUGACGAAGAACACCGAUUGCGUAGGCAGCGUACCAGACCGCAAAUGACGCUCAUGCACGAAAGUGCGGGGAGCGAACAGGAUUAGAUACCCUGGUAGUCCGCACAGUAAACGAUGAAUACUUGUUUUCGGCGAUAUAAUGUCGGAGGCAAAGCGAAAGCGAUAAGUAUUCCACCUGGGGAGUACGCCGGCACCGGUGAAACUCAAAGGAAUUGACGGGG